UACAGAGGGUGCGAGCGUUAAUCGGAAUUACUGGGCGUAAAGCGUGCGUAAACGGUCAAGUAAGUCGGGUGUGAAAGCCCCGGGCUCAACCUGGGAAUUGCAUUCGAGACUGCGUGGCUAGGGUGCGGAAGAGGGAAGCGGAAUUUCCGGUGUAGCGGUGAAAUGCGUAGAUAGUCGGAAGGAACACCAGUGGCGAAAGCGGCUCCUGGUCCAGCACCGACGUUCAGGCACGAAGCGUGGGGAGCAAACAGG
rnacentral:rRNA from 1 species